AGGAAAAAAGAAUCUCUCUUAUCUCCUUUUCUUUUCUUUCAGACUUCGCGCCAUCCACCGCCGGUGGUCUCUUUCACUAGAGAUGAUACCGAGGCAAUUGCGAACAAUCUUCACCGGCGCCGCCGUCAUCCUCGGCGGAAUUUGCACUCUCAACUUGGCUUCUUUUCUCACUAUUCAAACCCUUCGUGUUACUGCUGAAGCCAAACGGAGAAAGAUUGGUUUGCCCUGUAAAGCUUGUAGAGGAAAAGGAUUCUAUAUGUGCAAAUUAUGCAGAGGAAAUGCUGUCAUUCAGUGGUCGCCAUUGUCUGAUCCUAUUGCCAUGAACCCCUGUGUGUGCCCUACUUGUGAGGGAAACAGGGUACAACGUUGCCUAAAUUGCCUAGGUAAAGGAUAUGAAGUAUGAUUGAACUAUGACAUUGGCAACAAGUGUGAUUUAGCCUAUAUGUUUCUCAGAAAAACACCAAUAGGUUAGUUGUGAGAGUACUGCAAACAUCAGUGAACAUGUCAACAGGAGACGACCAGUUUGACUCGAAACACACCAACUAAAUUGCCCUCUCUAACACCAUUCCAGGUAUAAAUUCCAUCAGAAAUCAGCCAAAAGCCGUUAAGCAUAUAUUUUGGCAGAACAUCCACACCUUGUUUGCUUCGUAAGUGUUAAUAUUACUAUUUUGUUUGUUUUUAAUUUGUUCUGUGGGUAAAAUAUAUGUCUGACAAACUAGAAACAUGUGAUGGAAGGGAAGGUUGGUUGUUUUUUGUUGUUUUGUAGAAAGAAAGAAGGUAGGUUGUUGAAGGUAGGAAAGCAUGAAAAAUGAUCUGUCUAUUACAUUGAAACCAAAAUCUGGAGAUUGGUGGAACACUUAAGAUAAUAAUAUUAAUUUUAAAAAGUUAAGUACUC